ensembl:rRNA 5S_rRNA 5S ribosomal RNA
CAUAACCCUAAUAUCACCCUGAACGUGCCUGGUUUUGUCUGAUCUCAGAAGCUAAGCAGGGUUGGGGCCUGGUUAGUACUUGGAUGGCAGACUGCCUGGGAAUACCAGGUGCCGUAGGC